rnacentral:rRNA from 1 species
UGCCAGCCGCCGCGGUAAUACGGAGGGAGCUAGCGUUGUUCGGAAUCACUGGGCGUAAAGCGCGCGUAGGCGGUUUACCAAGUUGGGAGUGAAAUCCCGGAGCUCAACUCCGGAACUGCUCUCAAAACUGGUAGACUAGAGUUCGCUAGGGGAUGAUGGAAUUCUUAGUGUAGAGGUGAAAUUCUUAGAUAUUAGGAGGAACACCGGAGGCGAAGGCGAUCAUCUGGGACGAUACUGACGCUGUGGCGCGAAAGCGUGGGGAGCAAGCAGGAUUAGAUA